rnacentral:rRNA from 1 species
GGAAAUAGCCCAGCACUGAAUCCCGCGGUUGUCACGGCCGCGGGAGAUGUGGUGUUCGGGAGGUUCCGCUUUCUCGUCGUCGCAUCUCCUGUCCAAGUUCGUCUUGAACGGGGCCGUUUUCCCGUAGAGGGUGCCAGGCCCGUAGCGACGGAGGGCGGCGGCGAGAGGGACUCUCCUCAGAGUCGGGUUGCUUGAGAGUGCAGCCCUAAGUGGGUGGUAAACUCCAUCUAAGGCUAAAUAUUACCGCGAGACCGAUAGCGAACAAGUACCG